CUACCGUGCCAGGCAGCCGCGGUAAUACGGAGGGUGCGAGCGUUAAUCGGAAUUACUGGGCGUAAAGCGCAUGCAGGCGGCCUGUUAAGUCAGAUGUGAAAGCCCGGGGCUUAACCUCGGAAUUGCAUUUGAAACUGGCAGGCUAGAGUCUUGUAGAGGGGGUAGAAUUUCAGGUGUAGCGGUGAAAUGCGUAGAGAUCUGAAGGAAUACCAGUGGCGAAGGCGGCCCCCUGGACAAAGACUGACGCUCAGAUGCGAAAGCGUGGGGAGCAAACAGGAUUAGAUACCCUGGUAG
rnacentral:rRNA from 1 species